GGCUGGGUAGUUUAAGUAGAAUCGCGGUUUUGUAAUCCGCUGGCACUCUGAUUGAGUCUUGGCCA
rnacentral:tRNA from 1 species